rnacentral:rRNA from 1 species
GAUGAACGCUGGCGGCGUGCCUAAUACAUGCAAGUCGAGCGGACGGACGAGAAGCUUGCUUCUCUGAUGUUAGCGGCGGACGGGUGAGUAACACGUGGAUAACCUACCUAUAAGACUGGGAUAACUUCGGGAAACCGGAGCUAAUACCGGAUGAUAUUUUGAACCGCAUGGUUCAAAAGUGAAAGACGGUCUUGCUGUCACUUAUAGAUGGAUCCGCGCUGCAUUAGCUAGUUGGUAAGGUAACGGCUUACCAAGGCAACGAUGCAUAGCCGACCUGAGAGGGUGAUCGGCCACACUGGAACUGAGACACGGUCCAGACUCCUACGGGAGGCAGCAGUAGGGAAUCUUCCGCAAUGGGCGAAAGCCUGACGGAGCAACGCCGCGUGAGUGAUGAAGGUCUUCGGAUCGUAAAACCCUGUUAUUAGGGAAGAACAUAUGUGUAAGUAACUGUGCACAUCUUGACGGUACCUAAUCAGAAAGCCACGGCUAACUACGUG